CUGAAACUCAUCCAGUAUGCCCUUCUAUUUCCAGGUCCUGUAGCCUCUGAAAGUCUUACCUCAGUGACUGCUCAUGGUGCCAACCUCUUGGGUCAAGAGUCCUGUUGUUGCAGGAUCUCAAAGCUUCAGGCCUUGAAGGGGCAGAGGACUCCUACAUCAGCAAACGCAUGGACUUUAAC
rnacentral:lncRNA from 1 species